CCUCGUCGUCACCACCGGCGCGGGCGCGCGGCGGUCGCAACCCCAUGGAGGAGUUGAGCGGGCGCGUGAAGGCGCUGUUGGUGGGAUUCAGCUCGUGGAUGGUGAAGCGGCCCAUCCAUGUCGAGGCGGCAGUGACCACAGCGAUGGGGCCGGGGCGCUCGGGUUCCCCAUGGGCUCGCUCACUGCCAAUGGCGGGUCGCCGUUUGUCGUGUCACCGGCCAUGGCAUCUUUCAAGCAGGCGCAGGUUGCGACUUGCGAACCCGACGACACACUCUGCUUUUUUUUUGCUGUUGCUGAAUUUUUCGUGUUAACUCAUAACUAUUGUGUGUACUACAGGAACAUGUUUUCUUAAAAUUUACUUGUUAUGUUCGCAUGUGACCAGUCACUUUUGAUUCCUGAUCUAAAGUCAGCAUAGGUUAAGGCUUGCAUUUUCACUUUGAUAACAUAGCAGAUGUUGACUAGAUAGAUAUCUCAUGGAUCCUGUAAGUUAGAACUUGCAUGAAGGUCAAGUACAUCAUGAAGAAAGGGAAGGCAAUGUGCGGCCACCCAUUGUACAUUGUUCCUUCUUAGUUCAGUUAGUAUGCAUCUGAAUCAAUUCUUUGAGAAUUUAUUUUAGUAAAUUUAGACAUUUGGGAAGGCAUAGUUCUUUAAGACUUGGUUCAAUUGAGACAACAUUUGCAUUUCAGUAAUGAUGAAAUGAAACUGCACGUCCAAUUGUCACACUAAUAUCUUUGCUUUGCACAUUAUAGUUGGUACAUCUCCCACCUGAUUGAUGCGGACACCACUGUCCUCGAGCUGAACAGGGUGAGUAGAUUCUGAGCUGUUUAAGGUGUGGACUGUUGUGAGUUGUUGAAGGUAUGGACUGUUGUGUGGUUCCAGUAAAAUUAUAACCGUACGGAUGUUUCUGUGUGCAUGAAAUCUGCGUUGUACCAUGUCCCUGAUAUCAUGCAUUUCAUCGAUACAGUACACUACUAGAGCUGCUAUCUCUUGGUGUUCAUUGGUUCUGAUUGAACUUGUAUCUUAAUAACCAUUAAGUAAUUGCUUUUUCCAUGUAAUAAAUUAAUUUGUAGUUGUGCAUUUUCUUCACAUGCACAAGUCUUACAAAUAUACUGGUUUAUUUCAAUAGUAUUUCCUGUUAAAAAUAAUAGUACUCUCAGUACUGGUCAAGUGUGAAAAACCCCUAGCCAUGAGCAUCUAGAAUCGUUAUGAACUUGCAGCAUAAACAUUGAGAUCACUUGGCAAGCAAGUAUAUUUAGUAUUGUACUAGUAUUUGUUAGCGCUUUGAGAUGAACUUGCAGCAUAAACAUUGAGUUAGAUGAAAAACCCUUCGUGCUGAUUUUGAUUUAAACAUUUAGUUAAUAUAGUACACAACAUUACAUAUUUUUAUUUGAACUUUGGCUAUGUUUAUGCCCAGUUUGUGUUAAUUAUCUUGGAGAUAGUCUCUGUCACUUGUUUACUGUCAUUCUUGUUUGUUAAGGAAUGGUGUGCUACAGGGUAUAUGCUGGCAGAAUUUGCUGUACAUAUUUUGCAGCUUAUCGGUUGUACACAAAAUUUUGAUCCAGAAAAACUAAGUACUUGUAUAGGCGGGAACUGCUUCCCGUCGCAAAAAUUGUCGCAAAAAAUGAAUGAAGUACCUGUUUCUCUCACGUUUGUUUGCAUUUUUUAGUACAUUAACGUUCAAUCCAGCAAAACUAAGUAUCUGUGCAGGCGCACAGCUUCCUCUCACAAAAAAAGUAUGUAUCUGUUUCUAUCACGUUUAUUUGUUUUUUCUUUGACAAGUCUAAUGUUUGUUAGGCUACCAUUCCAUCUGAGCCUAGCGCCCCAUCUUGCUAGUAGCAGCCUAGCAGGCCAGCGAUCGUAGUCGGCAAGCCACAUGCACUUAACGACGACCGAACCAUGUAAUUCAUUUUUACAUUUGUUGUAAUUGUCUUAUUUCUAUCAUCUGUUCAUAUCUAUGUUCUUCUAAAUAUGUGUGACGCCCUUGAUUCGAUCGUACACUAAUCAUACACGCAAAUGUGUACAAUCAAGAUCAAGGACUCACGCGAAGAUAUCACAACACAACUCUAGACACAAAUUAAAAUAAUACAAGCUUUAUAUUACAAGCCAGGGGCCUCGAGGGCUCGAAUACACAAGAGUUAGCGGAAACAACAUUAUCUGAGUACAGACAUGAGUUAAACAAGUUUGCCUUAAAGGCUAGCACAAAAGCAACAUCGAUCAAAAAGGCAAGGCCUCCUGCCUGGGAGCCUCCUAACUACUCUUGGUCCCAACGAUGGCAUCUGGCUUCUGGGCUCCGACAUCUGGUUGCAUCAACCGGAAAGAAAAAGAAAG
rnacentral:lncRNA from 1 species